CUGGGGAAUUUUCCGCAAUGGGCGAAAGCCUGACGGAGCAAUACCSCGUGAGGGAGGAAGGCCUKUGGGUUGUAAACCUCUUUUCUCAAGGAAGAAACCAAUGACGGUACCUGAGGAAUCAGCAUCGGCUAAYUCCGUGCCAGCAGCCGCGGUAAKACGGAGGAUGCAAGCGUUAUCCGGAAUUAUUGGGCGUAAAGCGUCCGCAGGUGG
rnacentral:rRNA from 1 species